rnacentral:lncRNA from 1 species
AGUGGAAGAGAGAAAAGAAGAGGGAGUGACCGAGAGAGAGAGGAGGCCGUAGGAGAAGAAGAGGGCCGGAGGACCAGCCGGAGGCAUGGGUUCGGUGGAGACGAAGGAGAAAAGAGAGGAGAGAGAGGAGAGCGGGAGAUGAAGAGGCGGAAGCCUCUGGAAGGGGGGGAGAAAAAACCCUGAUAACGGGUUCGCAGGUCGGAUCCGAAUCCGAACCCGCAACCCGUUAAGCCCAAAGAAAAAGGAAAAAGAAAAAGAAAAAGAAAAAGAAAAAAGGAAACGGGUUUAGCCAAAUUUGACUAAACCCGAGCCCAAUCAAAUUGGGCUAAGCCUGGACGAGCCAGACUAUAAAUUUAACCAAAAUUAAGCCCAAAUGGAAUGAGGCCCAAACCCAAUUCGGCUGGGAUUGGUCCUAACAGACCAAAUUAAUGGAAAUAAGCCCAAUUCAAGCCCAAUGUGACUAAUUUAGGGCCAAAUUGACCCCAGAUUAAUCCUGACUCAGGCCCAAAUAGACCACAGUGACCCUAAACCCGGAAUUAAACCCAAUUAAGUUGGGGAUUAAGCUUAUUGACCAA